UGUAUGUAUGUGUGCAUGUAUGGUAAGGGUGUUUUUUUAGAGGUGCAGAAUUUUAAAUUGAAAUAAAAUAAUGAGAUUACAUACUUCAUUUUAAUCUGAAAAUUUAGAAGGUCUUUAUUGGAAAGAUCGUUUUGUGCCAUUAGUGUUUGAAUUUAAUUUCCGGUAUGUGGCUGCCGACGCUAACUCAGAUGUGGCCCAUUUUGGAAGUCCAAAUUUCGACCACUUAUUUUGCUUAAAUGAUAAUAAUCAAGAGGCACCAAUUCGCUUGAUCUCGAUGGGAAAUCGACUGGCCUAUGUCGAAAAUUAACACGUUCAUCCAAUGCUUCCUACAAUAUGUUGAUUGUUUGAAGCGCUGUGUGACAUGUGGCGUCACACAACGUUCGAAAAUGUAA